CCACUCUGGUUUCUCUUCAACUCGUAUAAAUCUUUCGCCUUUUACUAAAGAUUUCCAAAGAGAGAAUACUAUGACGUUGAAUGUACUAAUUUAUAGAGUUUCAAUGUUUAUAACUUUGGU